GUGGGGAAUAUUGGACAAUGGGCGCAAGCCUGAUCCAGCCAUGCCGCGUGAGUGAUGAAGGCCCUAGGGUUGUAAAGCUCUUUCACCGGUGAAGAUAAUGACGGUAACCGGAGAAGAAGCCCCGGCUAACUUCGUGCCAGCAGCCGCGGUAAUACGAAGGGGGCUAGCGUUGUUCGGAAUUACUGGGCGUAAAGCGCACGUAGGCGGGUAUUUAAGUCAGGGGUGAAAUCCCGGAGCUCAACUCCGGAACUGCCUUUGAUACUGGGUACCUAGAGUAUGGAAGAGGUAAGUGGAAUUCCGAGUGUAGAGGUGAAAUUCGUAGAUAUUCGGAGGAACACCAGUGGCGAAGGCGGCUUACUGGUCCAUUACUGACGCUGAGGUGCGAAAGCGUGGGGAGCAAACAGGAUUAGAAACCCUAGUAGUCC
rnacentral:rRNA from 1 species